rnacentral:rRNA from 1 species
CAAUAGCGUAUAUUUAAGUUGUUGCAGUUAAAAAGCUCGUAGUCGGAUUUUGGCUGAGAACGAUCGGUCCGCCGUUAGGUGUGCACUGAUUGGUCUCAGCUUCCUGGUGAGGAGGUGUGCUUCACGGCCACUUAGUCACCGUGGUUACUUUGAAAAAAUUAGAGUGUUCAAAGCGGGCUUACGCUUGAAUAUAUUAGCAUGGAAUAACACCAUAGGACUCCUGUCCUAUUUCGUUGGUCUCGGGACGGGAGUAAUGAUUAAGAGGAACAGUUGGGGGCAUUCGUAUUUCAUUGUCAGAGGUGAAAUUCUUGGAUUUAUGAAAGACGGACUUCUGCGAAAGCAUUUGCCAAGGAUGUUUUCAUUG